AUUGAACGCUGGCGGCAGGCUUAACACAUGCAAGUCGAGCGGAGAUGAGGUGCUUGCACCUUAUCUUAGCGGCGGACGGGUGAGUAAUGCUUAGGAAUCUGCCUAUUAGUGGGGGACAACAUUCCGAAAGGAUGCUAAUACCGCAUACGUCCUACGGGAGAAAGCAGGGGAUCUUCGGACCUUGCGCUAAUAGAUGAGCCUAAGUCGGAUUAGCUAGGUGGUGGGGUAAAGGCCUACCAAGGCGACGAUCUGUAGCGGGUCGGAGAGGGUGAUCCGCCACACUGGGACUGAGACACGGCCCAGACUCCUACGGGAGGCAGCAGUGGGGAAUAUUGGACAAUGGGGGAAACCCUGAUCCAGCCAUGCCGCGUGUGUGAAGAAGGCCUUAUGGUUGUAAAGCACUUUAAGCGAGGAGGAGGCUAAUGAGACUAAUACUUUUGGAUAGUGGACGUUACUCGCAGAAUAAGCACCGGCUAACUCUGUGCCAGCAGCCGCCGUAA
rnacentral:rRNA from 1 species